rnacentral:misc_RNA from 1 species
CUAAGGAGCACUUCUCCACGAUGCGUCACACAGGUGAUUGUGGUCGUGGCAGAGGCCAUGUCGGACUCGAAUGUAGUCCGGUGGUUGCUCAUGGGUGGAACGCUGACAUGUGCCGCCGGCUUCGGUUGGUGGAUGUAGUCGACACACUGUUGGGUCCUGAGAGAACACGCGAGUGACUCUCUAGGCGAAUGCAUGAUCUGCUCGGAUCGCCAUGUGAUACCGGCUCCUUCGGGGGUGCUGGUCCUGGGUUUCUGGUUCGGGUGGGUGUGUUGUUUGAGAACUGCACAGUGGACGCGAGCAUCUUUGUUUGUAAGUGUUUAAGAGCGUUC